UGGGAAACCAAUGCUAAGACCCCAUAGGCUGAAAAGUAAAAAACGAAAGUUGCCAAGAGAGGAGCUCGCGUCUGAUUAGCUAGUUGGUAGUGUAAAAGACAACCAAGGCGACGAUCAGUAGCUGGUCUGAGAGGACGAACAGCCACACUGGGACUGAGACACGGCCCAGACUCCUACGGGAGGCAGCAAUGGGGAAUUUUCCGCAAUGGGCGAAAGCCUGACGGAGCAAUACCGCGUGAGGGAGGAAGGCCCUUGGGUUGUAAACCUCAAAAAAUAGGGAAGAAAAAAAUGACGGUACCUAAAAUAAGCAUCGGCUAACUCCGUGCCAGCAGCCGCGGUAAUACGGAGGAUGCAAGCGUUAUCCGGAAUCAUUGGGCGUAAAGAGUCCGUAGGUGGUUAUCCAAGUCCGAAGUUAAAGACAGAAGCUAAACUUCUGGAAAGCAGCGGAAACUGGGGAACUAGAGUGUAGGAGAGGUAGAGGGAAUUCCCAGUGUAGCGGUGAAAUGCGUAGAGAUUGGGAACAACACCAGUGGCGAAGGCUCUCUACUGGACUAAAACUGACACU
rnacentral:rRNA from 1 species